rnacentral:tRNA from 1 species
GCCGAAGUGGCGGAAUGGCAGACGCGCUACGUUCGGGGCGUAGCGCCUGAACGGACAUAGGAGUUCAAAUAUCCCCUUCGGCA